UACGUAGGGGGCUAGCGUUGUCCGGAAUCAUUGGGCGUAAAGCGCGCGUAGGCGGCCCGGUAAGUCCGCUGUGAAAGUCAAAGGCUCAACCUUUGAAUGUCAGCGGAUACUGCCGGGCUAGAGUCCGGAAGAGGCGAGUGGAACUCCUGGUGUAGCGGUGGAAUGCGCAGAUAUCAGGAAGAACACCCGUGGCUAAGGCGGUUCUCUAGUACGGUACUGACGCUGAGACGCGAAAGCGUGGGGAGCGAACAGG
rnacentral:rRNA from 1 species